AUCCAGAUGAUCAAUCUCAAAUAGGACGAAACGCGUGUCCUGGAU
rnacentral:hammerhead_ribozyme from 1 species